GCCUUCUUUGUGUAUGGGCAGAGAGCAUUCGGUUUGCAAGCGGAAGGUCGCCGGUCCGAUUCCGGCAGAAGGCU
rnacentral:tRNA from 1 species